rnacentral:lncRNA from 1 species
GGGGCCGGGCUUGUGCUCCAAAGCCAGGUGGUUGUGACGCUCGGUUCUGAGAAGUGGAGACACUGAUUUGUAUUCCAACCUCCCAGUUUCAAAAAGACUUGAUAACAGAGCCAGGACUCCUCUCAGAAAGUGAGUCAGCAGUUUGCCUGAGACUGACCCAGUUUUGCACUGAAAGCCUAGAGUCCUGAGAAACGCUUCAGUCCCGGUCAAAUGAAGGAACUGGUCUCCCAAGAAAGCAAGUAAAGAGACCACUCAUGCAUCAGGCUGCAACAAGCCCCUGCACCGUAAAGCAAUUUUGAAAUAUAUAAUAAGCAACUUCUGAUGACCCAGAAAAACUUGAGAACACACCACAAAUUACAAGAAAAGCCCCACGACUUCCUGUGUGAGAUGCUUCAGCAGUUACCUCAAAUUCACCUCUGAUUGAACUUUCAUCCUCACUGAUUACUCAUUCAGUUCAAUAGCAACUGCCAAUAAAGACAUUUUUGGCUGUAGACUUACGAACAUCUGCUUCCAAAGGAAUUUUGGCAGAGCUUACAAGUGAUGUCAGACUGCCAGGCACAAAGAUCACAAUCUGGUUCAUUCUUGCCCUGGUAUUCCUACCUCCAGGAGAGCCUGGUCUAAAUCCAUGAAAGCCAGAGUCUGAAAUGGAUUACUGUACAUCCUUACUGGAAAACAGACAAAAGGUUGGAAGCCGGAAGUGCUCAGAACUCGCCUUUCAUUGAGUCUCUUAAAUAUUUAUAGUCAACACCCCAGAAAGUAUCCGUUUGUAAAUGUUUGGGAAAAGAAAAUAAAAUUCC